UACGUAGGGGGCAAGCGUUGUCCGGAUUUAUUGGGCGUAAAGAGCUCGUAGGCGGCUGGUCACGUCGGGUGUGAAAGCUCAGAGCUCAACUCUGAGAGGCCAUUCGAUACGGAUCAGCUAGAGGUAGGUAGGGGAAAGUGGAAUUCCUGGUGUAGCGGUGAAAUGCGCAGAUAUCAGGAGGAACACCGGUGGCGAAGGCGGCUUUCUGGGCCUUACCUGACGCUGAGGAGCGAAAGCUGGGGGAGCGAACAGG
rnacentral:rRNA from 1 species